rnacentral:rRNA from 1 species
UACGUAGGGUGCAAGCGUUAAUCGGAAUUACUGGGCGUAAAGCGUGCGCAGGCGGUUAUGUAAGACAGAUGUGAAAUCCCCGGGCUCAACCGAGGAACUGCAUUUGUAACUGCAUAGCUAGAGUACGGCAGAGGGGGAUGGAAUUCCGCGUGUAGCAGUGAAAUGCGUAGAUAUGCGGAGGAACACCGAUGGCGAAGGCAAUCCCCUGGGCCUGUACUGACGCUCAUGCACGAAAGCGUGGGGAGCAAACAGG